rnacentral:lncRNA from 1 species
GCCUCCUGUGAUUAGGCUUCCCCAUCAGUUUGAGCACAUCUCGCUUGUAGUUUGGGAGCACUGCAUCGUAGAGUUCCGAGAUUCUAUGGCAUUCAGGAGGAAAAUGCUUGAUGUCGCCGUCGUCACCUUCAUCCAGGGCUUUGAUGAUUGUUAGGCCCAUUUACUAAGGAUAAUGCCAUAUUUAGAACUUCAAGGCAUACAGGCUGGU